UUUACCUUAUACGUUAAUCUGAUUACAAUAAAAAAACUGAAUUUGUAGAAAUAGUAUAUAAAAAUCCAGUCAUUAAACAAAGAACAAAGACAGCAACAUCUUGGAAUACGAGUAAUACACAGGAUCUGCAGUUUUAGAUGGCACGUCGGUAAGAAGAGAACACAUGUUCCAGAAGUGCCAAGUUACAAGGUAUAUUCAAUACGAGAUCAUUGAUACUAGAAGGGGGAAUAAAAUGAUAUUGUGUCGAGGUUUCACGUAUUGCAAAUCGUCAACAAAUAUCUGGCUUUGCUCCUCCAGAUGUACGAUCAGCGGGUGCCAUGCGAGAAUCAAAUUUGUUGGAGGUGUUAUUGACGAGAUGCUAUCAAACUUUACACAUACACACGCACCACCAAAACUGUAUAAGCACUAUGGAAAAUAUAUCAGAGUUUAGAUAUUAUAAAGGCGGAUAACAAAUUAUAUUCAAUUCCCACUUAUGGUCGAAUAUUCUAGAGCUAAUUAACACGUUUGUUCAGUGUUAUUACAAUUACUAAUUGCAUAUGUUAUAUCCAUUCAUGUUUAAAUUUUCAAUUUUCUAUCUUUAUCCACAACGAAGUUAUAAGGAUGUCAAAAAUGCCUUGAAUCGCUUCAAAAAAUGAAUGUUUGUACAUGCUCGCUCGGUAGAUAAUGGAUAUAUUUCAAGAACCAUGCUUUCUAAGAAUCGAAAUUGAAUCAUUGAAAUCUUUUAUUUUAACCUUCCAUCUGUUUCUUAAUUAUUAAGUUUUAGUUAUCUUCUAUAUUUUGAUUUCUUUGAUCAUUUCUCUUAACAUGAUUAUGUUUGUUUAAGGAAUCCCAUAUAAGAAGAUUUCUUCCCGUUUUGGCACAGAUUUGAUACUCUGCCUAGGAUAUACGUAUACCAGGUCGUCAGCACAUGUAUGGCUAUGUUCGUCCAGGACCAACGCGAAGUGUCCAGGCAAGAUCAGAUUUAGAGGCAAUAACAUCGACCCUGAAUAUUCAAAUUUCGAACAUACACAUAAUGCGCCUAAUUUUGUGACUUUGGGAGACAAUUACAUUAGAGUUUAGUGAUUUUCGACGCUUUCAGGAACUGUAGGACUGUUAUUAAAUAAUCUCUGUGUUUUUAUGUCGCCAGUAUUUUUUUAUAUUUAUAUUUGGGUUUGUGUUUAUUUGUUUACUUAUUUUACCAACACAGUUGAAAAAAAAUGUUUAAAACUUGGCUAAGAUCUAGAAUAAAGAUCUAAUUAUUUUUUUAAGAUUUAGAAUUUAAGUUUUUUUUUUUUAUAUUUAAACUAUCUACCAGUUUAAUUUACUGUAUCUAACAUUCACUAAUUUUUACGUUAGUUUGAAUUUCUUUUUGUCACCCUUAUAUCGGCAUAGUCGACGGCAACGGAAAUGAGAAGUUUUACUUACAUGUAUAUGUCCCUGACUGUCAUUUUUGUCUAUGUAUUCUUUUUUAACUUUUAGUUUUUACAUUGAUUAAAAGCAUGUCUGUUUUAAAUACGUUAAUUGAUUACUGCUUUAUACAGGUAACAUUGCUUUAAUGGGUUUUCUAUAAUUUCUCAUUUCAAACUUGACAAAAUUGACUAGAUCCGUCCAUUGUAAUUGAUUGAUCUCAUUUUAACGGUUUAGUAUUCAAGUUAUAUUCAGCCACAAAGAGCUGUAGCGAUCAGAGUAUAAAUUGUAAGUUUUUGUGCGUUA